UAGGGAAUCUUCCGCAAUGGGCGAAAGCCUGACGGAGCAACGCCGCGUGAGUGAUGAAGGUCUUCGGAUCGUAAAACUCUGUUAUUAGGGAAGAACAAAUGUGUAAGUAACUAUGCACGUCUUGACGGUACCUAAUCAGAAAGCCACGGCUAACUACGUGCCAGCAGCCGCGGUAAUACGUAGGUGGCAAGCGUUAUCCGGAAUUAUUGGGCGUAAAGCGCGCGUAGGCGGUUUUUUAAGUCUGAUGUGAAAGCCCACGGCUCAACCGUGGAGGGUCAUUGGAAACUGGAAAACUUGAGUGCAGAAGAGGAAAGUGGAAUUCCAUGUGUAGCGGUGAAAUGCGCAGCGAUCUGGAGGAACACCAGUGGCGAAGGCGACUUUCUGGUCUGUAACUGACGCUGAUGUGCGAAAGCGUGGGGAUCAAACAGG
rnacentral:rRNA from 1 species